GACAGAGGGUGCAAGCGUUGUUCGGAAUCAUUGGGCGUAAAGGGCGCGUAGGCGGUUUUGUAAGUCGGAUGUGAAAGCCCAGGGCUUAACCUUGGAAGUGCAUCCGAAACUGCAUAACUGGAGUCUCGGAGAGGGUGGUAGAAUUCCCAGUGUAGAGGUGAAAUUCGUAGAUAUUGGGAGGAAUACCGGUGGCGAAGGCGACCACCUGGACGAAGACUGACGCUGAGGCGCGAGAGCGUGGGGAGCAAACAGG
rnacentral:rRNA from 1 species